AGUGAACGCUGGCGGCGUGCUUAACACAUGCAAGUCGAGUGCGCGGCUGUAGCAAUACAGCUGGCGCACGGCGCACGGGUGAGUAACACGUGGACAACCUGCCCUUCAAUGGGGGAUAACCCCGCGAAAGCGGGGCUAAUACCGCAUGACAUUCCCGGGACCUCUGUUCUGGGACUCAAAGGCCGUAAGGUCGUUGAAGGAGGGGUCCGCGCCCGAUUAGCUAGUUGGUGAGGUAACGGCUCACCAAGGCAUUGAUCGGUAGCCGGUCUGAGAGGAUGGCCGGCCACACUGGAACUGAGACACGGUCCAGACUCCUACGGGAGGCAGCAGUGGGGAAUCUUGCGCAAUGGGCGAAAGCCUGACGCAGCGACGCCGCGUGGGGGAUGAAGCUUCUCGGAGUGUAAACCCCUUUCGACCCGGACGAAACGCCCGCAAGGGCUUGACGGUACGGGUAUAAGAAGCCCCGGCUAACUACGUGCCAGCAGCCGCGGUAAGACGUAGGGGGCCAGCGUUGCUCGGAAUUACUGGGCGUAAAGGGUUCGUAGGCGGUGCGGCAAGUCGGGAGUGAAAUCUCUGGGCUUAACCCAGAGGCUGCUUCCGAAACUGCUGUGCUAGAGUGCGGGAGAGGCGAGUGGAAUUGCAGGUGUAGCGGUGAAAUGCGUAGAUAUCUGCAGGAGCACCCGUGGCGAAGGCGGCUCGCUGGACCGCAACUGACGCUGAGGAACGAAAGCUAGGGGAGCAAACAGGAUUAGAUACCCUGGUAGUCCUAGCCCUAAACCAUCAGGACUUGGGGUGCAUCCCGUUCGGGGUGCGUCCCGUAGCUAACGCGUUAAGUCCUGCGCCUGGGGAGUACGGUCGCAAGGCUG
rnacentral:rRNA from 1 species